AGUGGAUGGAUGUAUCAAUAACGUACGUCCACAAAGAAGGUACGCGAGGCCAUCACGGGGCUUUGUUUAGUGUCGUAUUAGUCCAUUGUAUUGAUUGAAAUGUGUGAGAGUUUUUCCAAAAAGUGAAAAGUGUUCCACAAUUUGAAAAAUGAACAAUCAGUAUAGAAUGUGCUGAAGCGUAAUAAAGAAUAAACUGAAAGGUUCACCCAGAAAAGUUACUGCGAAAUAUAAACCACUGAAGAAUCCAAUUACUCAGUAACUUGUAUUCAUAAAUUUUGCCAAUAAAGUGAAUAAUGAAUGGAAA